GGAAGAUGUGACGCAAUGUGGGUCACCAUCUCCCAGGGUAAUGACAACAAGCCACUUGCCUCAGCAGAAGGUCAGGCCUAGAAGAUUCAAUACUGGGAGAUUUCACAGGGUCAGGAGACGGUCCUCCCUGGUCACUGCAUGUCCCUGCCUCCGAUUCAAGCAAGUUAACCCUGACCUCAGACAUCACCUUUUCUCCUCUCAGCACAGGACCACUAGCUAAGUUAACGUUACUCACACACUCUGUCAUGUCAUCUUAUCAGCAUGGACUGCAAAGGUUUUUGCCACCAGAAAGGGAAAAACGAUGGAAGCAUCUGCUCACAGCUAGAAAGACUGAGAAAUGAGAAGCUGGGUAUUAAAACACCCGAAAACAAGUUUCAAGAUGAGCCUUUGUUAUUGCGAUGACAGAAUAAAUUAGGUUUGGCAUACAUCAUGUCUGCUUUUGCUGUACACAGGGA